rnacentral:lncRNA from 1 species
GCUGUGGCCACGCCUUCUUUAUAAUCACAAUGAAGCAAGCCCGCCCUUGCUCCAAUUUCAUUGGUGCCAGUCGCUUGGUUCUGGAGCUGGUUCCGCCCCCUUGCGGGCGAGCGCUGGCUGCCAUUGGGCUCUCCAGGUCCAGGGAAGGGUGGUCUAUAAAUAGAGACUGGAUCCACGUGACAGCUCCGCAGCUGCUCUUGCCGCCCCUCCCAAACUUUCAGCUUCUGAGUCUGCGCAGAAGGAUCAUCAGUGAUGAUUGAAUCCGGAUCACGCCUCCUCUUCCAGGCAGCUUUCCCAGACCCUCAGAAGUAAAGCGGAUUGAACAUCUUACGGUUUGAUUAUGCUUUUAAGCAGGACCUGUUCAAACCGGCUCUGUAAUUCCAUCAUAGGGGAGGCUGAACCAGGAGGAGAAUUGAGAGUUCAAGGCCAGCCUAAACUACAUAGUGAAUUUCAAGCUAGUUUGGAUUACACAGCGAGUUUCUGUCUCAUCAAAACAGCACAUUUACGGAAUUACAAGACCCUGGGUGAAAUAUUCUAUGCUUUGACCAGAAGAGAAUCUGAGGUCUUUUUUGUCUUCCAGGUGCGGUGGAGCUGAGUUCCACCAGUCUGAGCUCGCAGGGGCCUUUGUUCACGGUUCUAAGAGGCUUUGUUCUCAGUCUUCUGAGAUGCUCUGUUCUCAACGUUCUGAAGUUCUAAAUCUGAGCCUGCCUGCUUUCGAAGGCUGCAUUCUGCCUCUUCUCACUGGGCAAGCCGGGCUAGCGCCCCCUCACGCGGCCAGCAUGUGUCACUACACCCGGUGUGUCGGCAACGUUUGUGAAAUAGCCCAUUUCUCAGACGGACCUUUGACUCCUUAAAAGCUCAGAUCUGGAAGGGAGGAUGGGGCCGUAGAAUCGCGGGCCAAGAAGGAAAAGCUGGAAGCUUCGAUGCUCUGAUCCCCUAGCCACACCUGCCCAUGCUCUCAGACUGCCCCAGGCUGCCCUAUUUCCAUCCCUUCCCUGCCUACUCAGGACUGUCUCCAGGACUCAUCUGUAUGUCCAUGCAAUGGUAGCAGGGCCCGAGGUGUCAUGGUCACCACCGCAUACCCCGAAUCACUGAGCACACUGAUAGAAAUGGGCAGGGGUGAAGGAGCACCCAGUGUGUCAAGAAGUCAUUGCAACAGAAAACACUCAGGUUGGGAAGGCAGCUCAACAGGCCCAGUGCUCGCCGUGAAAACAUGAGUGAACUCAAGAGUCCCGGGCUCCAUGCAACAGGCCAAAUGCAAUGGUUCCACGAUUGUCUUUUUAGUGCUGGGGAAUGGACGCAGGAGGAGCUUGAUGUCCAGCCGGUUAGUGAGCUUGAGGGUCACCAAGAGACCCUGUUUCAAAAACGAAGUGGACAGAUAGGCCGGCAAGAUGGCUUUCAGUGGGAAGGCGAUCAUGCUGCUGAUGCCAAGGACCUGAGUUCUGUUCCUGGUGCCCAUGUCCACAUGGCGGACAGAGAUAACUGACCUCUGCAGGCAUGACACCGAACACACCCUGCCCCAAAAUUAAAUACAAUAAAGCAAGGUAGAGGGUAACAG